AGGCCCCAGCUCAGCCUCUGACAGAUGGGCAGCCCAACCGCUGCCAACUGCUUUCCAUGCAAUAUUCAAGAUACAACAAAGCAAAUUCCAGCCAGAGACGCUGCUGAAAGCUCUGGAAGAAAACCUUGUAAGGUGACCUUGAGAAUUCCUGGCCAGAGGCUCGAGCCUUCUCCCUCCGUGCGGUUCUCCAUCUGUCGGCGGCCGGGCCUCCUCCGCCGGCAGAUGUCUGCUUCCUCGUCC